CAGACUCCUACGGGAGGCAGCAGUGAGGAAUAUUGGUCAAUGGGCGCGAGCCUGAACCAGCCAAGUCGCGUGAGGGAAGACGGUCCUAUGGAUUGUAAACCUCUUUUGUCGGGGAGCAAAAGACGCCACGUGUGGCGUUCCGAGAGUACCCGAAGAAAAAGCAUCGGCUAACUCCGUGCCAGCAGCCGCGGUAAUACGGAGGAUGCGAGCGUUAUCCGGAUUUAUUGGGUUUAAAGGGUGCGUAGGCGGACUGGAAAGUCAGCGGUAAAAUCGAGAGGCUCAACCUCUUUCCGCCGUUGAAACUGUCGGUCUUGAGUGGGCGAGAAGUAUGCGGAAUGCGUGGUGUAGCGGUGAAAUGCAUAGAUAUCACUCAGAACUCCGAUUGCGAAGGCAGCAUACCGGCGCCCGACUGACGCUGAGGCACGAAAGCGUGGGUAUCGAACAGGAUUAGAUACCCCCGUAA
rnacentral:rRNA from 1 species